rnacentral:lncRNA from 1 species
CUGUAAUAGCAGUUGUGUGCCUAGGGAUCAGGUGCUUAGUGGUUCCUCUCCUAAGAACGUUCAGUAAAAAUCAGAUGCCAGCUGAGUUCCUGUCCCACAAUAUUCCCCUAAGGCUUUGCUCUUCACCGUCUGUCUCUUCUGCAGCCAGGAAACACAAAGUGUGCUUCAGAGCACAAAGGAAGAACAGUGCAUGUGAAUUACACGCUUUGGAUGGCAGCACUCACUACUGGAUAAUGCCAGCUGAUGAAUCAGCAUCAUGAAGGCAGCACAGACACUAUGAUAACUAAGUUUCAUUUUCUACUCUCUGAAGACAGAGCCACCAGCUUUGUUGCAAAGAAAAAUUACUCAUAUUGCACAUAUGAUACAUGGAUAUUCAGAAUGAGUUUUAUAUGAUGUUCUGUAUGAAAUUAAAAAGGGAAUAUAAUGAUUUUAUCCCACAGAAGGUGUAAUAGUAGCUAAAGGUAAAUUUGGGAGAUUUGUGGUUGAUGAAUAUUCAAAUAAAAACAAGGGUGGAAAAUUUUACUCUCUCUGU